rnacentral:tRNA from 1 species
GGGCGGUUAGCUCAGGGGGAGAGCACUACCUUGACACGGUAGGGGUCAUAGGUUCAAAUCCUAUACUGCCCACCA